rnacentral:rRNA from 1 species
GGUGUCGGAUACUGGGCUUAAGCGCGUGUAGGCGGAGCGGUAAGUACUUUGUGAAAUCCCCGGCUUCAAUCCGGGAACUGCUUGGUAUACUGUCGCUCUUGAGGCAGGUAAGGGUCACUGGAACCUUAGGUGGAGCGGUGAAAUGCGUAGAUAUCUAAGGGAACGCCUGUGGCGAAAGCGGGUGACUGGGCCUGUCCUGACGCUGAGACGCGAAAGCGUAGGGAGCAAACGGGAUUAGAUACCCCGGUAGUCUACGCCGUAAACGAUGCGCACUAGGUUCGAGUAGUCUGACACUUCUCGAGCCGAAACAAAAGCGUUAAGUGCGCCGCCUGGGGAGUACGGCCGCAAGGCUAAAACUCAAAGGAAUUGACGGGGGCUCACACAAGCGGUGGAGCAUGUGGAUCAAUUCGAAGCAACGCGAAGAACCUUACCUGGGUUUGACAUUCACGGAUGCCGUCCUGGAAACAGGAGCGUUGCCUUCGGGUGAAACGUGGACAGGUGCUGCAUGGCUGUCGUCAGCUCGUGCUGUGAAGUGUCGGGUUAAGUCCCUUAACGAGCGAAACCCUUGUCGCUAGUUGCCAGCGGGUCAUGCCGGGAACUCUAGCGAGACUGCCGGCGUUAAGCCGGAGGAAGGUGGGGACGACGUCAAGUCAUCAUGGCCUUUGUGCCCAGGGUGUCACACGUGCUACAAUGGGGUGUACAGAGCGACGCAAGACCGCAAGGUGGGAGAAAUCGCAGAAAACACUCCUCAGUUCGGAUUGAGUCUGCAACCCGACCUCAUGAAGCUGGAAUCGCUAGUAAUCGCGCAUCAGCCAUGGCGCGGUGAAUGAGUUCCUGAGCUUGUAC